rnacentral:misc_RNA from 1 species
GUAACAUCGAACGAGAGCGCGCGCGUUCCACAUUCGAAUUUCAAACGCUCGCGGAACUUAAACCGACAUUCGAAUCGCGUUCGAAAUUUAAAAAUAUAAAAAAGUUCGGUCUUUUUAAAUCUCGUAGUGUUUUUGUCAUGACUAUAAAAAUGGGUUUACGGUGUUUUCUGGUGUUAGUGUGUAUGAUUCAUUUUGGUUGUGCACUGGAGUGCCACAACGUUUUUAGCGUAGAAAAAACGACUUGCGAUGAGUGUGUCAGAUGUGGUGGUAUAUGGUGUUCGGAUCCUAAAGAGGAUAAGAAAUGCAAGAACCCCUUAAACGGUUUAGGAGACGAGUGGUGUCCGGGUCACCAGGAAAGGGUCCAUGUGGACCCAGUCGCACGAGACGGCAUGGUGUUCAGCCCUGAAUACCUGGUGUCCGUCGCUGAGAUCAACUCGGCGAAGGUCACGCCUAUCAAGGUUAACGGAUUCCGACCGGUGAAGGGGCUGCAGCAGAAGCCACGUUACAACGUUUACAACACGACGCAACCGUCAGGAAAAUCGAGCGUUUUCGUGAAACUAGAGAUGAUCAACAACAAGCUCCAAGUGAUUACAACAGUUAAAGAUGGGUUCUGUACUCAGAGUGCGGGGAAGUUCGAGUACGUGUUUGUGGAAGUGGGGUUAGAUGGUGUGGAGGAGAAGGCUGUGCUGAAGUUCGUGGUGCCGUGUGGGUGUGGAUGCUCGGAGCUGGUGGUGCCGGCGGACCAGGAGUACUGCCACGGGUACGGGAACCUCACCUGCGGGGCGUGCCAAUGCAACGAUGAUAGGAAAGGCAAGUUUUGUGAAAAGAAAAACUGCCAAGACCGCGGAGAUGUAUCAACGUCGUGCCUUGAUUCUUCAAAUCCUAAGGAACAGUGCUCAGGCAACGGCGUUUGCGAUGAAUGCAACAAAUGUCAAUGUUUCGACGAGCCCACAAUCAAAGGCUCACAAUAUUUCGACCCAGACAACGAUUGCAAAGACCUCUGCACCACCAUCAACUACUCCGAGUGCCACGUAGACUGCAUAAUAAGCAACACAGAGGGGCCUUGCGAAGCUUGUGGGGGCCAUGAUUUCAUGCAGAGGUGGAACGAGACUCUGCUGGAUGAGAGAGAUGAUUGGAAUAGAAGGAUGUGGGUGAAUUGUAGCGUGAAGACAGAGAGCAGAAUACUAGUCUAUUGGGCCAUGAAGAUUAAUACGUUUAUCUAUAUGAUGCGGAAUGAGCAGGCGGACUCUGGAGCACUAGUCAACACCGCUGGCGGAAACGUGACGAUCCCAGUGGUGAUCGGCGUGAUAGCAGCGAUAGCAGCAAUGGUGGCCGCCGCCGUCGGCUACGUCAUGUGGAAGGGACAGGGGGCGCUACCAGCGGCCGGAUCCAACUACGCCAAUAUCGAACCUGAAGACAGCGUGGGGGUCAACCCGUUGUACAAACCCCCGACGUCGUCCUUCAAGAACCCGAUGUACGCUGCGAAGUCUUAAGGGCAAUCGAGCCACCUCACCUGGCCAAGAGAGGGGAGGUCUCGCUCGCCCAACAACGAGCACAUGAAACACGUAGCUUACCGAAGUCAGCCAGCUUGACAUCGCCCAUCGUCCCGAUCCAGCUUGCGCUAAGGGUACAAGUAAUAGUCUGGCUCCCGCACCUUGCCCGGCAGCAGGAGGUCUUGCUCGCUCAUCAAGGGGUAUAUGAAACAAGUAGCUUACCGAAGUCGGCCAGUUUGACAUCGCCCAUCUCGCUGAGCAGCACGUUGGCCGCCUUGAUGUCCCGAUGCAGCUUGCGC